UAGUCUGCCAUACGCAGGAAGACCCGCUGAACUGAAGCAUCUCAUUAAGCGGAGGAAAAGAAACUAACUAGGAUUCCCUUAGUAAAGGCGAUCGAAAAGGGAACAGCCCAACGUCUUAAUCCCGCAAGGGAAAUGUAGUCGGUUCACCUAUUGCACUGGUCUAAGUCAGAUGGAAUGCUGCGCGAUUCAGAGUAAAAGCCUCGUAUGACCAACCGCAAGCUUACGAUGGACCGGGGAGAGUCGGAUACUUUGAGAGUAGUGUCUUAAGGGGGUGGUAUGUCCCAUCCAAGGCUAAAUAACGUGAGGAGACCGAUAGAUUACAAGUAGUGUGAACGAAAGAUGAAAAGAACUCUAAAACAGAGGGUGAAAAGUUCCUGAACUUGCUUAGGGUUAAGGCUAUUUAUAGUACCCGUCUUGAAACACGGAUUAGGGAGUUUAUCUGUAGUGCGAGUCUUUGCACGUUAACUGUAAAGGCGUAGAGAAAGCAACUGGCGUUUGCAUGGCUACUGAGCAUUACUGAUAGGACCCGAAAGGUGGUGAACUUUGCCUGCACAGGUUGAAGUCAGGGGAAACUCUGAUGGAGGACCGUACGGGUUAUUGAUG
rnacentral:ncRNA from 1 species